CUGGGUCAGAGGGUAGGAACAUUUUUGGUGACUUUUAAUUGUAUACUGGUUUAUUGUAUAGUCUCUUAUUGCUUUCUAAAACAGACAAGCCAAUUCCUAGUUUCACCAGCAGUGUAUUAGUGUCCCUCAAUUCACAUAGCCCUACCACCUUUGAAUAUUUUCAUCUUUUACCACCUUUGUGAAUUUGAUGCACCUCUCCUCUUACCAUCCAUUGUCUAUGUUGUGUUGCUUUGUUUUCAGCUCAGUUAUUUCAAACAAUAAAGGCUAAUGUCUCUUUUGUUUUCUUUUACAGGGUCUAGGGAAGCAUACGUGGUAGAGACAGACUAUAAGACUUAUGCCAUAGUGAAUGUUUCCAUGUUAAAGAACGGGAUGACACUUAGUGCCUUGAAGUUUUUCAGUCGAACCCUGGAGAACACUGAUAAAGGUUUGAAGAGAUUAAGAGAAAUUAGUGAACAAAUUGGGAUCUCCAGGGAUAAUGUAUUCAUGUUGAUCUAUGAUGGUAAAAACGCUUUUAUCUUUCCUGGGGGAAGAAUAACCCUACUCUGAAACACUGGAGCCUUUCUAGAUUCUGGAACCCCUUUACUCUCUCUGCCUCUCAUUGACUUUUCUUUCAUUUCUUAGAUACAUGUGUGAAGAUGUUGAAGAAGGUGAAUCCCUUUGUAUCACUGUUAUUCAUUGGAAUCGAUAGCAAGAGAGACAUAACUUCUGCAGCCCAAGACGCUGGCACCAUAAUGAUACAACAUAACUGCUUGGCAUUUGAUGGGAAAAGUUUUUUUCUUUUUUCUUCCCUUUGUCCCUAUAUAUGGCAAGGAACAAAGCUUAAGGAGAAAAUGUUCUAACCCUGAAAAUGUUGAGAUGUUCUUAGGAAUAACUUUGAAAAAUGUCUGAGGGUGUACUUUGCUCUUUAGAGGAAUUUAUGGCCAACAAGUAUGGAUUCUGAUAAAAUAGAACAGGUGGAGCAGUGCUUGUAUAUGGAAGAAAGGGAGAGGUGGGAUCUAUUCCAUUUAUAUUUAGGGAAUUUCUGGAGGGUGUACUCUGCUCUUUGAAGGAAUUUAUAACCAACAAGUAUGGAUUCUGAUGAAGUGGAACAGGUGGAGCAGUGCUUGUAUAUGGAAGAAAGGGAGAGGUGGGAUCUAUUCCAUUUAUAUUUAGGGAACUAUGAAACCUUUUUUCCAUCUGCUAUCUUUUACUCAUGGGCAAACCAUCUCACUUUAUUUUUCUCUUCAUUCUAAGCACUGUCUAGGAGGUGUUCUCCCAUAUUCUGCUAGCCUCCUGGGUCCACUGAGGGCAGUGAGAGGAAGCUUUAGAAAAUGGUAGCAUAGGAAAGUUACCUUUUAGACUCCCCUCCUAGGAGGCACAUCAGGUUUUUAUCCUGUUCUGGAGGUAAUAGUUGGUCUCUGUGGCAUUUACUCUCAAUUCUAUUUUUCAGUAGUGAUCCAUGAUGGGGAUUUCUUUAUUUAAGAUCCUCAAAGGAGUCCAACCAAUUUUUAUUUGUCUGCUCUGAACAUAUCAGAAAGUGGGUACUAUUUGUUAUCUGACACCUCUACCUUCUAGUGAACAAUGAAAAGGCUCAGACAUUUUGGUGGUCUAUAUGAACACCAAGAAACAGGGGGUCAGAUAAUUUCCGUCUAAAAACAUCACAGUACAUUAUCUUAAGCCAGUGUUCUAGGGAAGCAGAAGGCAUUUGUGCAAUCUAGCCCCAUUUUAAUGGGUUUAUUCUUACUUCUUCUUAUGUAGGUUGAAUGGGAAGGAGAAUUCAAAGGUUAUUUCUGGGGAGACUAAUUAGUUCUAAUUUAAAUCUUUGGUGUUCUCUUUGGAAAGAGGAUUAUUACCAAAAUGUAAUAAGAAAUUAGUUGUGCCAAUUUCAUAUCACUUAUAGUUUUAUGAAGUUUCCUCAGUGACAUAUACUAUCUUCACCUUGACAAAUAUUUAUUAAUCUCAGCCUCAAGUUGUUUGUACACGCAUAACAUAAUUCCCUCUAUCCUUUCUGUGUUGCAGGAUAAUUUGUAGAAGAGCAUAUUUUGGUUACCAGUGGAGAAAGUUACCUGCCCUGCCUCCAAGGAUUCACAGACUUGAUGGUCCUUUUUCUCCUUCUCCAUCCUUCCAUCCUUCUAUCCUCUCUUUCCAUAUCCCCAACCUCUCUCAUAGGGUUAGUCUCAGUAUUGAAUAAAUUUAUAUUCCAAACUGCUCUCUUAUGUGCU
ensembl:lncRNA